ensembl:snRNA U4 U4 spliceosomal RNA
AGCUUUGCGCAGUGGCAGUAUCGUAGCCAAUGAGGUUUAUCCGAGGCGCGAUUAUUGCUAAUUAAAAUGUUCCCCGUAUGGGAGAAGACCAAAUUUUAUAUUUAGUAACAAUAAAAUUG